rnacentral:rRNA from 1 species
GACGAACGCUGGCGGCGCGCUUAACACAUGCAAGUCGAACGGAAAGGCCUGCUUUCCCUUGUGGAUUGCGGGUACUCGAGUGGCGAACGGGUGAGUAACACGUGAGUGAUCUGCCCCCAACUUGGGUAUAAGCCUGGGAAACUGGGUCUAAUUCCCGAUAGGACUGCAGGGUGGUGCCUGUGGUGGAAAACGAUUUUCUAGUGGUUGGGGAUGAGCUCGCGGCCUAUCAGCUUGUUGGUGGGGUAAUGGCCUACCAAGGCGGCGACGGGUAGCCGGCCUGGGGGGGCGGGCGGAAACUUUGGGACGGGGACCCGGCCCGGACUCAGCGGGGGGGAAGCAGUGGGGAUUGUGGAAGAAGGGCGGAGAGCCUAAGGCAGCGACCCGGCGGGGGGAAGGCCGGCUUUGGGGUUGUAACCUCUUUUCGCCGGGGAGGAAGCCCCUGGUUUGGAAGGGUGGUGAGGGUGGUGGAAAAAGAGGCCCCGGCUAGCUACGUG